rnacentral:lncRNA from 10 species
UGGGAAACUUAAAAAGUAAUUAAAGAACAAUCAAUCAGUAGAUUUACUAACCCACACCUUUCUCUGAAAAGUAUCACUUUAUUUUGAAGCCUUAUAUAUCUCAAUAGAAAAGUGAAAUAGAGAAUUGAACAUUUAGUCUGUCAGUUAUUCAACAGGACCUCAAUGUAGGGGUGUGUGUGUGUGUGUGUGUUGGCGAUGGGGGACAUGCCUGCAGGAAUGACAUCAUUCUGCUUUUCUCCUCAAAAUAUUACCUGGAAGAACAUAGCUUUACAUUAACCAUGCCAACACCCGCUCAUAAGAGUCCUCCCUCCUACCCAGGGAAAAGUGCUAAGCAAGAAAUGAUUUGCUUUAAAUACUGCCAAGGUUGAGUAUCUAAGGACUGGUUCAAGUUGCACAUCCAGCAAGGAAGCAGGCUUGAGGCAAGUACAAGCAUCUGAGGAAAACACAGGAAGGCUUUUUGACAACCCCGUUGGGGAUUUUUUCAAAAAGACUUGCAAGAUGCCAAGUUAAUCUUGAGGCUUCUUGCCUCACUUCCUUUUAUGUCCUUCCCUGAACAGUUCUUGUAUAAACUUGUCCUCGGGAUGUCUUUCCGCCUCCUAUAAACUCCCACCUCUGGGUAGCCUUGGCACCUCUGCCUUACCCCAAGGCCUUGAAUUACUUGCCUAUUUCCACAUCUCCAUGCUUUAAAAAAACUUCCCUUCAAGGUAGGAAUGCAAGAUACACCACAUUCUCCUUUCUGAGUCAGAUGGAGAUGGUGGUCAUUUCCAGGCCAAGUCGACUUUCACUCAGGCUAUAUCCCCUUUUUCACAGAACUUCCUCCCCUCUGGAAAUGAGGAUAAACUACCUUGACAAUUAAUUACCUGGAGAAGGCCAAGUGAGAGACUCAAUCUUUUGAAGAACCAGUUCCCAGAUCAUUUUGAUUUGGAGCAAAACCCUGAACCGAAUCCACAGCGAGAAAAGCCAGCAUGUCAUGCUGCAAGUUGCACUUCUCCAAGUGCUGCUAGCUACCAAUAUGUCUUAGUCUGCUCAGGCUGCUAUAACAAAAUACCACAGACUGGAUGGCUUACGCAACACAUACUUGUUUCUCUUUUUUUGCAAUAUGGAUAAGUUGAGAAUUUUCCAGUCUGCAAGUUCUGCUUCUGGAAUUGCUUAACAAUUCCUUCUUUAAUUCAUCUCUGUCUUCUCAUAGUUUACUAUCAGUAGUCAGGAGGAACCAAGCCACUUUUUCCACACUUUGCUUAGAAAUCUCCUCAGCUAAGUAUCCAAUUUCAUUGCUUACAUGUUCUACCUUCCACAAAACACUAGCACAUAAACACAAUUAAUUGAAAUUUUUGCCACACUAUAACAAGGAUUACCUUUCCUCUAGUUUCCAAUAUCAUGUUCCUCACUUCUCCUGAGACCUCACCAGAAUGGCCUUUAAUGUCCACAUUUCUAUCAACAGUUUAUGAUUAUUUAUGUAUUCUCUAAGAAAACAAAAACUUUAUCUCCAGCUUUCCUAUUUUCUUUCUGAGCCCUUACCAGAAUCGCCCUUAUGUGCACCUCAAAACUCUUCCAGUCUCUACCUGUUGCCCAAUUCCAAAGCUGCUUCCUCAUGUUUAAGUAUUUGUUGCAGGGGCAUUCUCUCCUUGACUCCAUCUGACCACUUCCUCUCCCAAUUUCCUUGUUCCCCAACUGACAGUAAUUCUCUUAGUUUUCCAUAAUCACUCUCUUUAUCCUUUCAUCUCCCAUUAUUUGUGGAACACACUCUAGUCUAACUCUUGUACCCUGAUUCCACUGAAACCAAUCUUUUCAUUGGUAAAGAUCUCCUUCUUGCCAAAUUCAAGAAACAAUUUUUAAUUUUCAUCUUACUCAUCCUCUCAGCAGCAUGAGACAUAGUUGAUUACUUCAUUUUAUUGAAUCACUUAUUUUUGGGUUAUUGUUGGCUUCCACAACAUAUAUUUCCCUGUUUUAUUUCUUAUCUCACCAGCUACCUCCUUCUCAGUCUUAUUCACUGGGUCUUUCUAUUCUUACUGAAAUGGAAAAGGUGAAAUACCCAAGAGCUGAGUCCUCAGAUUUCUCUUCUUUAUUUGCUUUCCUCCCUAGGUGAUCUCAUCUAGAGUCAUGGCUUUAAAUAACAUCUAGUCAAAAUCACAUCUCACAGAAGUCUUUCUUCCUCAUCAGUUUCUUACCCUGUUUUGUUUUUCUUCAUGGCAAUUAUCAGGGAUCUAGAACUAGAAAUACCGUUUGACCCAGCCAUCCCAUUACUGGAACUUAAAGUAUAAUAAAAAAAAAGAAAUUAUAUAUGUAUAUAUUUAAACUUAUUUAUUGUCUUCCCCAUGAGAACAGGAAUCUUGUUUGUUUUGUUCUCUGGCAUAUCCUCAGAAACUAGAACAGUACCUGGCACAUAACAGGCUCUUAAAAAUAUUUAAUAAAUGGAUGCUAUGAAGAGGCUUUCAUAGUUUUUUUUUUUAAUUCUUACCUCCUAAAAGAUAAGAACAAUUGUUUCAGUCCCUAUCCAACUCCAGUUGUGCACCAGAUCUUGUCCCCUUUCUUCUACUUAAGGACUUUGCUCCUGAAAUCAUCCACUUUCUCUUUUUGCAUCAUCAGUCUUCUCUUUACUCAUCAUACUUUCUUUAUGCUACAAUAUGUCCCAUUAUACUUAUCAUGUUUUCCUAUAUUAUUU